rnacentral:miRNA from 1 species
GUGUGUGCAUGUAUAUGUGCAUGUGCAUAUGUGUGUUGGACCAGCAGGAAGACAGACAAAGGACAGAAGACAGCUGAGAGGAGCCACAGACAAAUU